UGUAUGUAUGUAUGUAUUGUAUAUCUGUGUUAAUGCAGUUAGUGAAAUAGAUCUGAUUUGACUUUACGUGGUUUUGGUCGAAUUUGUUUGUGUUUGCAGUUAUAACUAAUAACGGUCUCGUAAAUGCAUUCACGUGGACUAUUAUUCGUUCUCCCAGAAUGUAAACCAAACAUAGAUUUUAUUACACGCGUGUAACUUCAUAGUGCAAAAAUUUCUUACACGUUGCUGAAGAUUUAUUUUCGUAUGCUAUUAUGCAGGUGACUGAUGAACUUGUAAAGAAGACAGAAGAAAUGGAGCGUAAAUAUGACCGGAAAAAAGUACCCAUCUAUGAUAGAAGAAGUCUCGUCAUCAGUUCGAUCCCAGACUUUUGGCUGACCGCUUUCAUGAAGCAUCCUAUACUCGGAACGCUGCUCACUCAGGAAGACCCGCAGGUUUCACACAAAAUAAUCCCCGUUAAAUAUUAAUGUUGGCCUAAUGAAAAACAAAUCUCAUUACUUUUGAAUACUUGGAUAGUCUUUAUGUGGAGGACCUUCAAUACCCGCAAAAAGGGUAUUGCAUUACGUUCAACUUCAAGAUCAACCCGUAUUUUGAAAAUGAAACAUUAAGCAAGACUGUCGACUACACUGACGAAGAUCUGGAGACAACAUGUACGACUAUAAGAUGGAAGGAGGGCAAGGUUGGUGAUCUGAUCAAGGGGGACUUAUAGGUUAAUCCCAUUGAACAUCUUAACCAUGUGGCACCCGUUGACGAAGAAGAUACCUGUGACGGGCGAUGAUGACUGAGUUUCUUUCGAUACCUUUUAGAAUUAUGUUUUUAAAUCGAACAAAGAGUAACUUUUAAACUUCUUAAACCUAUUUCGUUUGAGUCUUUCUGUUUUACUGCCUGGUAUUGACAUUGUUUUAUAUUUCAUGUUUUAUCUUAGCAUGCUGCUCAUUAUUUCUUGGUGUUGCAUUACUCUUACUUUUGAUUUUAUAAGAUCUCAAUUAGUGA